rnacentral:rRNA from 1 species
UACGUAGGGGGCUAGCGUUGUCCGGAUUUAUUGGGCGUAAAGAGCGUGUAGGCGGCCAGGUAGGUCUGGUGUGAAAACUCGAGGCUUAACCUCGAGAUGUCAUCGGAAACCAUUUGGCUAGAGUCCGGAAGAGGAGAGUGGAAUUCCUGGUGUAGCGGUGAAAUGCGCAGAGUAUACAGGCAAGAACGACCGGUGGCGAAGGCGGAUCU